rnacentral:rRNA from 1 species
AUUGAACGCUGGCGGCAGGCUUAACACAUGCAAGUCUAACGAGUGGCGGACGGGUGAGUAAUGCAUGGGCAUCUGCCUUAUGGAGGGGGAUAACUACGGGAAACUGUAGCUAAUACCGCCUCCCAUCGGCUGAGCCCAGAUGGGAUUAGGUAGUUGGUGAGGUAACGGCUCACCAAGCCGACGAUCUCUAGAUGGUCUGAGAGGAUGAACAGCCACACUGGAACUGAGACACGGCGCAGACGCCUACGGGAGGCAGCAGUGGGGAAUAUUGCGCAAUGGGGGCAACCUGACGCAGCCAUGCCGCGUGAAUGAAGAAGGCCUUCGGGUUGUAAAGUUCUUUCGGUGGCGAGGCGUUACCAACAGAAGAAGCACAGGCUAACUCCGUGCCAGCAGCCGCGGUAAUUC